UACGGAGGAUGCGAGCGUUAUCCGGAUUUAUUGGGUUUAAAGGGUGCGUAGGCGGGCUUUUAAGUCAGCGGUAAAAAUUCGGGGCUCAACCCCGUCCAGCCGUUGAAACUGGGGGCCUUGAGUGGGCGAGAAGAAGGCGGAAUGCGUGGUGUAGCGGUGAAAUGCAUAGAUAUCACGCAGAACCCCGAUUGCGAAGGCAGCCUUCCGGCGCCCUACUGACGCUGAGGCACGAAAGUGCGGGGAUCGAACAGG
rnacentral:rRNA from 1 species